rnacentral:lncRNA from 1 species
CUUAAACUUUCUGGGCUUACAAGACCCAGGGGCACGUCAGCUCCUUAGAUGGGCUCAGCCUGACACAUAAUUCUUAAACCUUUCCUGUUUAAGAAACUUCUAGAGGCUGUGUACUCUCACCAAUCCUCUUCGAGAAUUUGUUCAUGUGUAUUUCCCCAUUAUAUGGAUGAGGCUCAGGAUAACAGCAUAGUGGCUACCUUCUACUGAGUUUUGAGGUGCUAAUAAGUAUGUUUGUCUGAGGCUGCACAUGUGGGUGGCUCUGUGUGUAUGAUCCAAGGGACAAAAUGACGAUGUAGGAACCAGCAAGAACGGAAUCUGGGCUGAUGCUUCAGUCUCCACCUGGGUGAUGGCUAGCCUCCCGCCCUCCACCACCGCAUCCCACACGUGCUGCGCACUGUCCCCGUGUCUCCUGGAGAACCAAACUGGAGAAAACCUUUCUGAGUAUCUCUCAUAGUACCCCUUCCUUAAGAAGAUGUGGUUUAGAGCAUGUGUGCAAUCCUGCCUCUGUAAUUAGGAAACGGAGCCCGAGGCUUUCCAUUGUUGGUUGAACCCAGGACAGCUGGUGCUAUUCACAGGCUGAAGAACUGGGCAGUUCUUACUUGGGUCUGUCCUAGGAUGUGGAGGAAGUUCAGGACUAACGCUAGGCAGAGAGUAUGACUCGGUUUACCCAGCCUAGGGGCCUCUGGAUGGGAACACUCCAUUCCAAGAUCUCAGCAGAGCAGGGCUUCCUGGCUUGAGGCUGGAAGCCUUUGGGAAGAGGCCCAGCUGGGACAUUCCCUGGGCACCUGUCUUCCGCUGAAGGGAGCAAGGUGCCCUCUGGGACUGACAGCCAUGACCCUCUGUGCCAUCCUCAAUCCUUGAGCCAUAUAUCAAGAGUCCUCUAGAGCCGGAUGGUCCUCAAAAGUCUGUCCAAGGAAUGCCAACGUUCACCGGGCUCUGAGAAACGACGCAAAUCUCUGAGCUGGGGACCACUUGGAGAACCGGCUUAGUAACAGUCCUGAUCUUCGCAAGCCAGCUUCUUCUGCAUCUGAGGGGCUCCUGGCGCCCAGAGGAGGCAGACAGAUGUCUUCUAGCUGAGUUUCUAACCGCAUGAUGAGACUCAGACCUUCCGCUGCACUAGAAAAUCUGCAACAGUGUCCCUGAGUCACUUCUCCUUAGUGGGCAGACUCGUGUUAGAUUUGUGGAACCCAGCUCUCUGAUUUACUCCUUUUGGAAAACCCAUGGAAUUUCAUGUAUAAGGCUUUCAUUUGUAUUUUAAGGUUUUUCUGUUUGUUUUGAGUAUAUACAUGGUGCUCAAUAGCAACAUCUUAGCAGAUGAAGCAGUUUAUGAUUCCACUCCCUCCUGUAUGACAGGUAGCCACUAUACUGAAUCAAGGUGCUGAACUCAAAUCACAAAAUUCUGGCUUACCGAUACAACAACCAAUACAUCUUUGUUCUGUAAUGUAAAAUUUGACUCCUUACUUUUAUAACUUAUUAAAGUUAAAAUGUCUGU